AGGCGCUCAAAGGUUCCCUCAGAAUGGUUGGAAAUCAUUCAUAGAGUGUAAAGGCAUAAGGGAGCUUGACUGCGAGACCUACAAGUCGAGCAGGGUCGAAAGACGGACUUAGUGAUCCGGUGGUUCCGCAUGGAAGGGCCAUCGCUCAACGGAUAAAAGCUACCCCGGGGAUAACAGGCUUAUCUCCCCCAAGAGUUCACAUCGACGGGGAGGUUUGGCACCUCGAUGUCGGCUCAUCGCAUCCUGGGGCUGUAGUCGGUCCCAAGGGUUGGGCUGUUCGCCCAUUAAAGCGGUACGCGAGCUGGGUUCAGAACGUCGUGAGACAGUUCGGUCCCUAUCCGUCGUGGGCGUAGGAAAUUUGAGAGGAGCUGUCCUUAGUACGAGAGGACCGGGAUGGACAUACCUCUGGUGUACCAGUUGUCGUGCCAACGGCAUAGCUGGGUAGCUAUGUGUGGACGGGAUAAGUGCUGAAAGCAUCUAAGCAUGAAGCCCCCCUCAAGAUGAGAUUUCCCAACUUCGGUUAUAAGAUCCCUCAAAGAUGAUGAGGUUAAUAGGUUCGAGGUGGAAGCAUGGUGACAUGUGGAGCUGACGAAUACUAAUCGAUCGAAGACUUAAUCAA
rnacentral:rRNA from 1 species